rnacentral:rRNA from 1 species
GACGGAGGGUGCAAACGUUGUUCGGAGUUACUGGGCGUAAAGCGUGUGUAGGCGGCCACGUAAGUCGGAUGUGAAAGCCCCGGGCUCAACUCGGGAAGUGCACUCGAUACUGCGUGGCUUGAGUACUGGAGAGGUUGGUGGAAUUCUCGGUGUAGAGGUGAAAUUCGUAGAUAUCGAGAGGAACACCGGUGGCGAAGGCGGCCAACUGGACAGAUACUGACGCUGAGACACGAAAGCGUGGGGAGCAAACAGG